UACGUAGGGGGCUAGCGUUGUCCGGAUUUAUUGGGCGUAAAGAGCUCGUAGGCGGUCUGUCGCGUCUGCUGUGAAAACUCGGGGCUUAACCCCGGGCCUGCAGUGGGUACGGGCAGACUAGAGUGCGGUAGGGGAGACUGGAAUUCCUGGUGUAGCGGUGAAAUGCGCAGAUAUCAGGAGGAACACCGGUGGCGAAGGCGGGUCUCUGGGCAACAACUGACGCUGAGGAGCGAAAGCGUGGGGAGCGAACAGG
rnacentral:rRNA from 1 species